GACGAACGCUGGCGGCGUGCUUAACACAUGCAAGUCGAACGGAAAGGCCCUGCUUUUGUGGGGUGCUCGAGUGGCGAACGGGUGAGUAACACGUGAGUAACCUGCCCUUGACUUUGGGAUAACUUCAGGAAACUGGGGCUAAUACCGGAUAGGAGCUCCUGCUGCAUGGUGGGGGUUGGAAAGUUUCGGCGGUUGGGGAUGGACUCGCGGCUUAUCAGCUUGUUGGUGGGGUAGUGGCUUACCAAGGCUUUGACGGGUAGCCGGCCUGAGAGGGUGACCGGCCACAUUGGGACUGAGAUACGGCCCAGACUCCUACGGGAGGCAGCAGUGGGGAAUGUUGCACAAUGGGCGGAGCCUGAUUCAGCAACGCCGCGUGCGGGAUGACGGCCUUCGGGUUGUAAACCGCUUUCGCCUGUGACGAAGCGUGAGUGACGGUAAUGGGUAAAGAAGCACCGGCUAACUACGUG
rnacentral:rRNA from 1 species